GGAGGGGUCGCAUAGUGGCCUAGUGCACCGUCUUGGAAAGACGGCAUGCCCGAAAGGGUAUCGUGGGUUCAAAUCCCACCCCCUCCGCCA
rnacentral:tRNA from 5 species